rnacentral:rRNA from 1 species
UAGCUGAGGAAAAGAAACCAACAGGGAUUGCCUUAGUAACGGCGAGUGAAGCGGCAAAAGCUCAAAUUUGAAAUCUGGCACCUUCGGUGUCCGAGUUGUAAUUUGAAGAAGGUAACUUUGGAGUUGGCUCUUGUCUAUGUUCCUUGGAACAGGACGUCACAGAGGGUGAGAAUCCCGUGCGAUGAGAUGCCCAAUUCUAUGUAAAGUGCUUUCGAAGAGUCGAGUUGUUUGGGAAUGCAGCUCUAAGUGGGUGGUAAAUUCCAUCUAAAGCUAAAUAUUGGCGAGAGACCGAUAGCGAACAAGUACAGUGAUGGAAAGAUGAAAAGAACUUUGAAAAGAGAGUGAAAAAGUACGUGAAAUUGGUUGAAAGGGAAGGGCUUGAGAUCAGACUUGGUAUUUUGCGAUCCUUUCCUUCUUGGUUGGGUUCCUCGCAGCUUACUGGGCCAGCAUCGGUUUGGAUGGUAGGAUAAUGACUAAGGAAUGUGGCUCUACUUCGGUGGAGUGUUAUAGCCUUGGUUGAUACUGCCUGUCUAGACCGAGGACUGCGUCUUUGACUA